AAAAUAAAUUGCACGAUGAAUAUAUGGGUAUUUUUAUACACCUUAAGCUUGUUGAAUGGAUAAAAUAGCAAGAAGUCCUCUUAUGAUGUCACCUCAAUCCAAUACUCACCCAACACUCUACCUUUUCCUUCUUCUUACACAUGUCUAAUACAAGAAGCCAUAUCCACCAUCAUUCUCACCACUUCUACAGCAAUAUUUUGAAUUCCACCUUCUCCAAGUAUACAAGCAAAUUCAAGUUCAGAAUUUUGCCUUCUCCAAGUGAACAAGUAAAGCAAAAUCCUAAAUUUCAUUUUUUUCUCAAGUGAGCAAGAAACUAAAAAUAUGAAUUCCACCUUUUUCUCUCAUAAUUUUAGAAAUCAUGAAGAGAUUAAUAGUAUCCCCUUACUAUAGGUAACCCUUAUCUCAUAAAAAGCUUCUUGAAGUUCAAUUUUAAUCUCCACAGAAUUUAUAUGGAGUAUGGAGCUUAAUUGAAGUUAACCUUGGAUUGUAUCUGAUGUUAGAGCAUGUUUGAGUAUAGAGUUGUGAUCAAAUGUUCGGGCUGAUGAUGAUUUGAAGAUCAAGAGUUCAUGUGUGGGGUGUUGAAGUUGUCUUAAGUUGAAGGUUGGUCAUCCAUGGUGUUUGAUCUAUAUGCGUGAAGCUUUCUUAUAUUAACAAUGGUGUUUUCAUGAUUUCUCAAGCUUUUCAUGGUGGAUUAUCCAUUUACUGGUUACUCAACAAAUUUUAUUUGUUGACUGCUUUUGAUGGGGCCUAUUCCUUUCAGGGAAUAGAUUCACUUUCAGGUUAGCUGCAUUAUAUGGAUGGAUGUACACUAUUUGUUAUGUGUAUUGUGCGUAGCGGGGGCUUCAGUUGUAUUUUGAGACUAUGUAAAUUAAAAUCAUGUAAUAUUUAUAUAACCAAGUGUUUUGUAAUAAUUUCAUAAUGUUUUGUAAAUAGUAUUUACUUAAUUAUGUAAAAAAUUUUCGUCGUUAACUCUGAUAUUAGUUUGCUAUGAUCAUCGGAUCAUAGGUCAGAUUCAGUCCAAACAUCUGUAAGUCUUUCGCUGUGUUUAGUGGACAGUAUUAUUAUACUA